UACGGAGGAUCCAAGCGUUAUCCGGAAUUACUGGGCGUAAAGAGUUGCGUAGGUGGUUUGUUAAGUAAGACAUGAAAUCGUGUGGCUCAACCAUACGGCUAUGUUUUAAACUGACAGACUAGAGGAUGAGAGAGGUUAUUGGAAUUCCCAGUGUAGGAGUGAAAUCCGUAGAUAUUGGGAGGAACACCGAUGGCGUAGGCAGAUAACUGGCUCAUUCCUGACACUAAGGCACGAAAGCGUGGGUAGCAAAUGGG
rnacentral:rRNA from 1 species